CACCUCUAGCAUUUCCAGUAUUAGAGGCACUGCCUGCCCAGUGACAUCUGUUUAAACGGCCGCGGUAUCCUAACCGUGCAAAGGUAGCAUAAUCACUUGUUCCCUAAAUAGGGAUUUGUAUGAAUGGCCACACGAGGGUUUUACUGUCUCUUACUUCCAAUCAGUGAAAUUGACCUUCCCGUGAAGAGGCGGGAAUGACUAAAUAAGACGAGAAGACCCUAUGGAGCUUUAAUUAACUGAUUCACAAAAAACAACACACAAACCUAACCUUCAGGGACAACAAAAUUUUUGAUUGAAUCAGCAAUUUCGGUUGGGGUGACCUCGGAGAACAAAACAACCUCCGAGUGAUUUAAAUCCAGACUAACCAGUCAAAAUAUAUAAUCACUUAUUGAUCCAAACCAUUGAUCAACGGAACAAGUUACCCUAGAGAUAACAGCGCAAUCCUAUUCCAGAGUCCAUAUCGACAAUUAGGGUUUACGACCUCGAUGUUGGAUCAAGACAUCCUAAUGGUGCAACCGCUAUUAAGGGUUCGUUUGUUCAACGAUUAAAGUCUU
rnacentral:rRNA from 1 species